ensembl:lncRNA
GCGGAAGCUGCAGACGGCGAGAAUUGCAGCGGCAAACCCUAAACACACACUGGGUUGAAAAGAGCUUCUCUUAUUCAGCGUUACGUGUCCUCUUGAACACAGACAUGUAUCGCCCGGGUGAACCUGUUCGCCAGGUGCCUCCACCGCUGCCGUUCGGACCUCCACCGCCUCACGGCCCUCCUUUUAGACCCACAGGGCCCUGCUCUGUUCCUCCUCCUGGACACUUACCCCCCAGGCCCUGUGGACCAUAUCCGGUCGCGGCACGAGAUUAUCUCCACAACAGACCGCCGAGUGGGCAUUUCGUUCGUCUACAAAGGAGAAACGAACAAAAAGUGACUGCGCAUCUCAAGCAUCUGAUAAACAUAAGGAGGGUGACAGUGAGGAAAGGAAGAGAGAGAAACAAGAGAAAGUAAAUAAAAUGGAGUCUUUGGCCAAAGAACUGGAUGAACUGUUAAAACAAGAUGGACUGGGUUUUAUAACUCCAGUUACUGGCUUUUACUGCCAGAACUGUGAGGAGUUCAUUGGAGAUUUGAAGUCUGCUGAAAACCAUGCAGCUAUCCGCCAUCAUAGUAACUCUAUUGCAAAAGAACAGACGGACAGGCACUCUAAAGACAUCAAAGGACACCCACAUCAUUACAGUCCCUCCAGUAAUCGACACCCUGACCCCCCAGACAGGAGAGAUCACAGGGGUUAUGGUUACCGCGGGGAUUCAGGAAACCACCGGAAUAGCACAGACCAUCUACGGAAUUGGAAGGAUGGCAAAGAUUUCAGAAGCCGAUACCAUGAUGAUGACCACAAAAGUCACAAGGAUAGAGAUAAAAACAUCUUCUUGAAAGAGGAAAUGAAAAAGGAGCGAAUGUUUAUAACAGUCUCCGAUGGACUGACACCUUCAACUUCUAACAUCAGGGUCAAGGAGGAGGUGGACAAGGAGAAGGCCACUGGAAGCCAUGGUAAAGUUAAAGCGAAAGACCUAGAAUCAUCCAAGGAAAAGAAAGGCAGCAUUGAAAAUGAUCAAUACAGUGAUAGCACUGAUGAUGACGGAAAAUCACCUAAAACAAAAAAGAAUAAAAAGAAAAAGAAGAAGAAGGAGAAGGAGAAGGAGAAAAAGAAUAAGAAUAAGAAACAGAAGGAGAAGUCUUAGGUGUUAUUUUGUCCUUGUCAUAUAACUCUGGGAUGAUGGUAGCAGCUUAUUUCUGGACUGAUUUUCUAACAUAGUUUUCUCACUUUCUUUUCCUCCACCCAAUUGUUUUUUGUUACUGUCAUUAGAAGAGGAAGGUAGACCUCAGAGUGAUUCAUCAUGUAUGAAGGAAUAGACUGAUAUGUUAGGAAGCACGUUUGUUGGUGGUCUUUCUCUAAAAGAAGAUUAGUAUUACUUUUGUCUUUGUGUAUCUAGUACAGUGGUCUUUACCUCACUUAGAACUAAGAUUGAUUUUUCUCAGUUAAUUCAGGUAUUUUUCCCCCACUUCAGACAGCGUGUUUGCUCGGUCAAAUUAAUUCUCAUGUGGAAUGAAAUGUUCUCAUGUGUUCCUCAGUAAACAGGCAAACAAAAACCUUUUCCAAGACGUCUGUUCCUUUUACACAUUCUGCACAGUUUUCAGCACUGUAUUAAAGUCUGCCACGUUUCAGGUAUGGCAUCACAUCUUGGUUCUAUUUUUUAAUUAAAUGUUCAAUAAAAUAAGCAGUAAGAAAAUAAGCAGUAAGAAAUUUUUUUCAUUUCAUUGGACCAACAGCAUUGUAGUUUUAGAAAAGGUAUACAUGUAUCUGACAUCUUGUAUUCAUUUUGAUCUCAAAUAAAGACGUAAAAUAAACAAAUGUGUACUAUUCCUUAGUUUUUGGGGUUUUCUUUCUUGAUUUUAUGUUUGAUAUUAUGUUUGAGUGGCUCCCAUCAGGAAGUACAUGUAGACUAUGCUUCCAGGAUGUAGGACACAAAAAAAAGGGUCACUAAUGUCCCUACAGCAUUUCAACAUCUGAACUGUAAGCCUUUCCCACCCCAGUAUUGCAUCCUUUUCUUGCUUCCUUCCCCACACAUUCAGUUCCUUGGUAAUUGAACUGAUCAUUGAAUCUGAACUAUGAUUGGUCAUUUUAUACUGAUGCUUUUAUGUUCUAUGUCUUAUGUGGUGGUCUCUGUGCCUUUUUAAUUGCCCC